rnacentral:lncRNA from 1 species
GUACCGUUGGGGACAGUGGUGUCUCUCUAUCACAUGAAGGAUAUUUUAAACAAACAAAAAUAGCUCUACAAGCAGUUGUUACAUUAUUAACAAUAAAAAAGCUUCAAGUGUUUUGUCCAAAUACUGGUGGAUUCAACUAAUAAAACAAUGGACAACCUAACCAGAGAGGUCCAGGACCUGAAGAACAGUUUGCAGUUCUCCCAAGGUCAGCUCGAUGAGUUGAAACAAGAGAACGGCAAGAUGACAGCAAUCUGGACAAUCAAGACGGAACAACAUGGUUGUGGACGGAAUUGUAGAAUCUCCACAUGAGACCUGGACGGAGUCUGAGGACAAAGUGAGGGAAAUGAUCUCUGAGAAAUUGAAGAUGGACCACAGGAAGAUUGAGGUGGAGCGCACCCACAGGACAGGAAAACCCACCACCGGCCACCCAGGUGACAGGCCCAGGCCGAUAGUGGUCAAGUUCCUGAGGUUCAAGGACAAGGUAGCUGUUCUGGAAAGAGCCAAGAACUUGAGAGGAACGUAUAUCUUCCUCAACAAGGAAUAUCCUGAAGCUGUGUGCCAGAAGUGGAAAGAACUUUACCCAGCCAUGAAAACUGAAAGAAAUUCCUUAUUUACAUAAGUAUUCAGACCCUUUGCUAUGAGACUCAAAAUUGAACUCAGGUGCAUCCUGUUUCCAUUGAUCAUAUUUCAGAUGGGUUCUACAACUUGAUUGGAGUCCACCUGUGGUAAAUUCAAUUGACUAGGUAUGACUUGUCUAUAUAAGGUCCCACAGUUGACAGUGCAUGUCAGAGAAAAUAUCAAGCCAUGAGUUUGAAUUGUCCGUAGAGCUCCAAGACAGGAUUGUGUCAAGGCACAGAUCUAGGGAAGGGUAGCAAAACAUUUCUGCAUCAUUGAAGGUCCACAAGAACACAAUGGCCUCCAUCAUUAUUAAUUGGAAGAAGUUUGGAACAACCAAGACCCUUCCUAGAGCUGGCCACCCGGCCAAACUGAGCAAUCCGGGGAGAAAGGCAUUGGUCAGGGAGGUGACUAAGAAACCAAUGGUCACUCUGACAGUGCUCCAGAGUUUCUAUGUGGAGAUGGGAGAACCUUCCAGGACAACCAUCUCUGCAGCACUCCACCAAUCAGGCCUUUAUGGUAGAGUGGCCAGAUGGAAGCCAUUCCUCAGUAAAAAGCACGACAGCCCGC